AGCGAACGCUGGCGGCAGGCUUAACACAUGCAAGUCGAGCGGGCAUAGCAAUAUGUAAGCGGCAGACGGGUGAGUAACGCGUGGGAACGUACCUUUUGGUUCGGAACAACACAGGGAAACUUGUGCUAAUACCGGAUAAGCCCUUACGGGGAAAGAUUUAUCGCCGAAAGAUCGGCCCGCGUCUGAUUAGCUAGUUGGUGAGGUAAUGGCUCACCAAGGCGACGAUCAGUAGCUGGUCUGAGAGGAUGAUCAGCCACAUUGGGACUGAGACACGGCCCAAACUCCUACGGGAGGCAGCAGUGGGGAAUAUUGGACAAUGGGCGCAAGCCUGAUCCAGCCAUGCCGCGUGAGUGAUGAAGGCCCUAGGGUUGUAAAGCUCUUUGUGCGGGAAGAUAAUGACGGUACCGCAAGAAUAAGCCCCGGCUAACUUCGUGCCAGCAGCCGCGGUAAU
rnacentral:rRNA from 1 species